rnacentral:rRNA from 1 species
UACGUAGGGGGGCAAGCGUUGUCCGGAAUUAUUGGGCGUAAAGAGCGUGUAGGCGGCCAGGUAGGUCUGCUGUGAAAACUCGAGGCUCAACUUCGAGCUGUCGGUGGAAACUUUCUGGCUAGAGUCCGGAAGAGGAGAAUGGAAUUCCUGGUGUAGCGGUGAAAUGCGCAGAUAUCAGGAAGAACACCCGUGGCGAAGGCGGUUCUCUGGGACGGUACUGACGCUGAGACGCGAAAGCGUGGGGAGCGAACAGG